AUUGAACGCUGGCGGAAUGCUUUACACAUGCAAGUCGAACGGCAGCACGGACUUCGGUCUGGUGGCGAGUGGCGAUCGGGUGAGUAAUACAUCGGAACGUGCCCAGUCGUGGGGGAUAACGUAGCGAAAGCUACGCUAAUACCGCAUACGAUCUAAGGAUGAAAGCGGGGGAUCGCAAGACCUUGCGUUAUACGAGCGGCCGAUGUCAGAUUAGCUAGUUGGUGAGGUAAAGGCUCACCAAGGCGACGAUCUGUAGCGGGUCUGAGAGGAUGAUCCGCCACACUGGGACUGAGACACGGCCCAGACUCCUACGGGAGGCAGCAGUGGGGAAUUUUGGACAAUGGGGGCAACCCUGAUCCAGCCAUGCCGCGUGAGUGAAGAAGGCCUUCGGGUUGUAAAGCUCUUUCGGCCGGGAAGAAAUCGCACAGGCUAAUACUCUGUGUGGAUGACGGUACCGGCAUAAGAAGCACCGGCUAACUACGUGCCAGCAGCCGCGGUAA
rnacentral:rRNA from 1 species